UUCGCGACCAUUCUCGUCCCGCUCCUAACAACCAAAGGCGCGGGAUGCGCCAAGGAAAAUCGAAACGAAUCUGACUCCUGCCUCGGUGCAUUGCAUCGUGUCGGCGAGUGUAUUCGAUAAGUCAUAACGACUCUCGGCAACGGAUAUCUCGGCUCUCGCAUCGAUGAAGAACGUAGCAAAAUGCGAUACGUGGUGUGAAUUGCAGGAUCCCGUGAACCAUCGAGUUUUUGAACGCAAGUUGCGCCCGAAGCCUUUAGGCCGAGGGCACGUCUGCCUGGGCGUCACGCACCGUUGCCCCCCAAACCCCCUCAGUCCUCCACGGAGGAUUGGCGAGGCGCGUGGGGGGCGUAAAGUGGCUUCCCGUCGGCUUUGUCCCGCGGUUGGCCUAAAAAUGAAUCCCUAGCCGCGGUGCGCGCGGCAUUCGGUGGUCAUCGAUCCCUUUCGUUACCCCGCCGCGCGCUCACGUGCCGCGAAGGAUGUCACACUAGUAAACCCGACGCCUCGCUUUGUGAAGAGCGGAGCUUACAACGCGACCCCAGGUCAGGCGGGGCUACCCGCUGAA
rnacentral:rRNA from 1 species